AAGGAAGUGAUAUUUCUGGAUAGCAACAGAAACAGGAAGGGAAACCGCUGAACUUGGAAGAAGCAAGAGAGAAAGAAAGCCAUGUUGUUGAAGUCAUGUGAAUCCCAGGAGCUACACAGUGAUGGUUAGCUAUCGUAUGACUCUCUUAUGAGUUCUUGCAGGCACCCUUGGAAGCUAACGAGCGCUUCUUUUGGAGUUCUUUCUGGUCACAGGAGCUGAUUUCAGAAUAUUAAAAGCCUAAACAUCAUAGAGGUCAUGGUGGAAGUCAGUGGACACAGUUCACACCAAACAUCUGCUGUGGAUUUCAAAUAGAGGAAUGGCUUGCAGAUGGAGGCACCCUGUCAUGCCAGUCCACUAAUUUAAUCGUGGAUGCUGAAAAUGCUGUCUGGAAGCUUCCAAGGAUGCACCAUACAACAUUUAAGUUGUGGUGUAAUGAUCAUUGAUAUGUUCGUUGUGUUCAGGAGUAAAUAAGGUAAGUGCUUAUAUAUAGGAAACACACAAGGAAAAUAAGGAAGUUACCAAGUCGGGUCAUGGUAAUGUGAGAUGGGAAGACUAUGAAGACACUGGUAUUUAUUCUCUUUAUAGUUUAAAAACAUCAACACACAAGACUGAGGCUUCUUAAAGACAUUUAAUAAAGUUCAAUAUGUACUGAUUGUUCCUUAUCUG
rnacentral:lncRNA from 1 species